rnacentral:rRNA from 1 species
GACGAACGCUGGCGGCGUGCUUAACACAUGCAAGUCGAGCGGUAAGGCCCUUUUGGGGGUACACGAGCGGCGAACGGGUGAGUAACACGUGGGUGACCUGCCCUCAGCUCUGGGAUAAGCCUGGGAAACUGGGUCUAAUACUGGAUAUGACCUUUCCUCGCAUGGGGUUGGGUGGAAAGUUUUUCGGCUGGGGAUGGGCCCGCGGCCUAUCAGCUUGUUGGUGGGGUGAUGGCCUACCAAGGCGACGACGGGUAGCCGGCCUGAGAGGGCGACCGGCCACACUGGGACUGAGACACGGCCCAGACUCCUACGGGAGGCAGCAGUGGGGAAUAUUGCGCAAUGGGCGGAAGCCUGACGCAGCGACGCCGCGUGGGGGAUGACGGCCUU